rnacentral:rRNA from 1 species
GGCAACCCUGACGGAGCAACGCCGCGUGUGGGAGGACGGCCUUCGGGUUGUAAACCACUUUUCUCAGGGAAGAAGUACUGACGGUACCUGAGGAAUAAGCCUCGGCUAACUCCGUGCCAGCAGCCGCGGUAAGACGGAGGAGGCAAGCGUUAUCCGGAAUUAUUGGGCGUAAAGCGUUCGUAGGGGGCUCGUCAAGUCUGCUGUCAAAGACCGGAGCUCAACUCCGGGCAGGCAGUGGAAACUGGGGAGCUAGAGGGCGACAGGGGUAGAGGGAAUUCCCAGUGUAGCGGUGAAAUGCGUAGAGAUUGGGAAGAACACCGGUGGCGAAAGCGCUCUACUGGGUCGCACCUGACCCUCAGGGACGAAAGCUAAGGGAGCG